GGGGGUGUCGGGAUUCGAUGGGUGUUCGUUUCCAUUCCUACAGGCCGAGGUUGUUCGUCCACCUCGUAAAACAACGAACACCAAACGCAACUGUCAAUGCGUUCUCUCGGGCGAAGGAUGCGGUGCGCAAUGCGUUCCGUAUGCCUUCGUUCGCUCCGGCGUUCGCGUAACUGCGAGUGCCCAUCCGACCCGCUGACGCCUAGUACGCGGAGCUCGGGUGUUAUCAACUAGGCUGGAUGUUCCCACCGCCCUCGUGGGACGUCGAGGAGACAUGGGGGCUCACCGCGUGCGCAUUUCGCGCCGUUCGAGCGCGUGCGGGACACCAACAACGGCGACACGCCUGGACACGGAAGGGAUCAACGAUCGCCCACACGGGGGUUCAACUCCCCCCACCUCCAUUU
rnacentral:tmRNA from 1 species